rnacentral:lncRNA from 1 species
AAUAGAGAGAUAUUAUGCAGCAAUCAUUAAACGCCAAAUGCUCAAGUGCAGCAUCUUUGAAUAGUUAGUACUAUAAGAAUUAACAAUCAAACUGAUUAGUUCAUUACAGCAAAAAAGAGAGUCUGUAGUUGAUCAUCCAAGUCAUAAGAGCACACGGGUGUUGCGAAGGCCUGCUAAAAAUAAUGUUUGAAUUGCCUGUAGUGGAGCUAGCAGCCUUGCACUAAAGAAUUCUAGCACGUUCUGCACCCUUAAUUGCCACGAUUUCUCAGCAAAAAAACACAUUAGUUGUAGCCUUCUCAAAAAACAAAGAUGUGGGUGGGAAUUUGAGAUACGUUAAAAUGAAAAAUAUAUAUCAUGAUUGAUAUAGCAGUCAAGAUUUCAAAGAGAUGGAACAAUUUUGGAAUCUUGAGUUAGAGGGUUGGCAGUCUAAUUCUAACGUUUGGCUGACAUUAAUGGUGCUUUGCUUUUAGAUAGAGAAGCACAAAAAAUUGCACAAUAGAAAUGAUGGCGAUCAUAACAGAAGGCAACAGUUAAAGGAUGAAGGGGAGACUUUGAAAUGAUUUUUUUUUUUUUUGAGUGAUUGGAGCCAAGUUAAGGGUGUAGUGUGACAGAAGCCAUGUCAUUAAGUUUGAAAACUUGCUUUUGCUUGAGAAGAUAACCCGCUAUCUUUGGGAAGACAGGUAGACUUCUACAACUACUCGGUCUACGCCCUACUGAUACACUUUCUUUACACAGGGGCUGAGACAGGCUGGCUGAAAGAGGAGAGGAAGGGGCUUGAGAUACUC